CCAAUAUGUUAUUUUUUUUCAAAUGUCAGUCUUACUAAAUAUUUUCCAAAUUGCCCAGUAGUUGAUUCUGACAUUAACUUGAAUUUGAUUGUGCCUGUAGAUCCGUUCUGUCCUCUCACAGAGAUUAUCCAUACCAAGCAUUGGCUCUAAGUAGUACAAGUGCUGGAAGUGGAAUAAAUCUGAUAAGACGAUUACAAAGAAGAAGAGACACCUACCAUGUUUCACAAGGCACAAAUUCAAGCAGCGGGAACAUCUGAGUUGUUAAUGAGCACCUGAACCUGCAACAAUCCGUUUACAUAAAAUUCUUUUCAUUAAUGAUUCAUAAGAUCUGACAGGUAAUAUAAAAUGUUUAAGUACAUAAUUAGAAACAAGGUUUUGUAUGACAAGUUAAAGUUGGGAUGAUAAUCUAAGUAUUGGGUAAACAAACAUGGUUACUUUGAAAUCAGGAUGAAAAUGGCUCGGAGGAGAAAUUAAAUGUUGGAGACAAAAUGGGUGCCACUGUCAUCAAAGGCUUAUAUCUAUAUUGUCUUGGUGGGAACUUGUCAUUCUAUCUAUUGAGAUGUAUUUUGAGAUGUGGUUGAUCCAGUGAUUGAUGUGUAAUAUAAUGUGGGCGGCGCGUUCUGAGUGUUUAAAGUUGUCAG